GCUUAUGGCCAUGCACGCCUGAGCUCGUCUGAUCUCAGAAGCUAAGCAGGGUCAGGCCUGGUUAGUACUUGGAUAGGAGACCGGCUGGGAACACCAGGUGCUGUAAACU
rnacentral:rRNA from 1 species